rnacentral:rRNA from 2 species
CGGGACACGUGGUAUCCUGUCUGAAUAUGGGGGGACCAUCCUCCAAGGCUAAAUACUCCUGACUGACCGAUAGUGAACCAGUACCGUGAGGGAAAGGCGAAAAGAACCCCGGCGAGGGGAGUGAAAAAGAACCUGAAACCGUGUACGUACAAGCAGUGGGAGCACGCUUAGGCGUGUGACUGCGUACCUUUUGUAUAAUGGGUCAGCGACUUAUAUUCUGUAGCAAGGUUAACCGAAUAGGGGAGCCGAAGGGAAACCGAGUCUUAACUGGGCGUUAAGUUGCAGGGUAUAGACCCGAAACCCGGUGAUCUAGCCAUGGGCAGGUUGAAGGUUGGGUAACACUAACUGGAGGACCGAACCGACUAAUGUUGAAAAAUUAGCGGAUGACUUGUGGCUGGGGGUGAAAGGCCAAUCAAACCGGGAGAUAGCUGGUUCUCCCCGAAAGCUAUUUAGGUAGCGCCUCGUGAAUUCAUCUCCGGGGGUAGAGCACUGUUUCGGCAAGGGGGUCAUCCCGACUUACCAACCCGAUGCAAACUGCGAAUACCGGAGAAUGUUAUCACGGGAGACACACGGCGGGUGCUAACGUCCGUCGUGAAGAGGGAAACAACCCAGACCGCCAGCUAAGGUCCCAAAGUCAUGGUUAAGUGGGAAACGAUGUGGGAAGGCCCAGACAGCCAGGAUGUUGGCUUAGAAGCAGCCAUCAUUUAAAGAAAGCGUAAUAGCUCACUGGUCGAGUCGGCCUGCGCGGAAGAUGUAACGGGGCUAAACCAUGCACCGAAGCUGCGGCAGCGACGCUGAUGCGUUGUUGGGUAGGGGAGCGUUCUGUAAGCCUGUGAAGGUGUGCUGUGAGGCAUGCUGGAGGUAUCAGAAGUGCGAAUGCUGACAUAAGUAACGAUAAAGCGGGUGAAAAGCCCGCUCGCCGGAAGACCAAGGGUUCCUGUCCAACGUUAAUCGGGGCAGGGUGAGUCGACCCCUAAGGCGAGGCCGAAAGGCGUAGUCGAUGGGAAACAGGUUAAUAUUCCUGUACUUGGUGUUACUGCGAAGGGGGGACGGAGAAGGCUAUGUUGGCCGGGCGACGGUUGUCCCGGUUUAAGCGUGUAGGCUGGUUUUCCAGGCAAAUCCGGAAAAUCAAGGCUGAGGCGUGAUGACGAGGCACUACGGUGCUGAAGCAACAAAUGCCCUGCUUCCAGGAAAAGCCUCUAAGCAUCAGGUAACAUCAAAUCGUACCCCAAACCGACACAGGUGGUCAGGUAGAGAAUACCAAGGCGCUUGAGAGAACUCGGGUGAAGGAACUAGGCAAAAUGGUGCCGUAACUUCGGGAGAAGGCACGCUGAUAUGUAGGUGAAGCGACUUGCUCGUGGAGCUGAAAUCAGUCGAAGAUACCAGCUGGCUGCAACUGUUUAUUAAAAACACAGCACUGUGCAAACACGAAAGUGGACGUAUACGGUGUGACGCCUGCCCGGUGCCGGAAGGUUAAUUGAUGGGGUCAGCGCAAGCGAAGCUCUUGAUCGAAGCCCCGGUAAACGGCGGCCGUAACUAUAACGGUCCUAAGGUAGCGAAAUUCCUUGUCGGGUAAGUUCCGACCUGCACGAAUGGCGUAAUGAUGGCCAGGCUGUCUCCACCCGAGACUCAGUGAAAUUGAACUCGCUGUGAAGAUGCAGUGUACCCGCGGCAAGACGGAAAGACCCCGUGAACCUUUACUAUAGCUUGACACUGAACAUUGAGCCUUGAUGUGUAGGAUAGGUGGGAGGCUUUGAAGUGUGGACGCCAGUCUGCAUGGAGCCGGCCUUGAAAUACCACCCUUUAAUGUUUGAUGUUCUAACGUUGACCCGUGAUCCGGGUUGCGGACAGUGUCUGGUGGGUAGUUUGACUGGGGCGGUCUCCUCCUAAAGAGUAACGGAGGAGCACGAAGGUUGGCUAAUCCUGGUCGGACAUCAGGAGGUUAGUGCAAUGGCAUAAGCCAGCUUGACUGCGAGCGUGACGGCGCGAGCAGGUGCGAAAGCAGGUCAUAGUGAUCCGGUGGUUCUGAAUGGAAGGGCCAUCGCUCAACGGAUAAAAGGUACUCCGGGGAUAACAGGCUGAUACCGCCCAAGAGUUCAUAUCGACGGCGGUGUUUGGCACCUCGAUGUCGGCUCAUCACAUCCUGGGGCUGAAGUAGGUCCCAAGGGUAUGGCUGUUCGCCAUUUAAAGUGGUACGCGAGCUGGGUUUAGAACGUCGUGAGACAGUUCGGUCCCUAUCUGCCGUGGGCGCUGGAGAACUGAGGGGGGCUGCUCCUAGUACGAGAGGACCGGAGUGGACGCAUCACUGGUGUUCGGGUUGUCAUGCCAAUGGCACUGCCCGGUAGCUAAAUGCGGAAGAGAUAAGUGCUGAAAGCAUCUAAGCACGAAACUUGCCCCGAGAUGAGUUCUCCCUGACUCCUUGAGAGUCCUGAAGGAACGUUGAAGACGACGACGUUGAUAGGCCGGGUGUGUAAGCGCAGCGAUGCGUUGAGCUAACCGGUACUAAUGAACCGUGAGG